GGUUGGCUCAGUGGUAGAGUGCCUGCCUUGCAUGCAUGAAGCCCUGGGUUUGAUUCCCAAGCACCA
rfam:Dipodomys ordii contig_64179, whole genome shotgun sequence.